CCUACGGGGGGCAGCAGUGGGGGAUAUUGCACAAUGGGGGGAACCCUGAUGCAGCGACGCCGCGUGGGUGAAGAAGCGCCUCGGCGCGUAAAGCCCUGUCAGCAGGGAAGAAAAUGACGGUACCUGAAGAAGAAGCCCCGGCUAACUACGUGCCAGCAGCCGCGGUAAUACGUAGGGGGCAAGCGUUAUCCGGAUUUACUGGGUGUAAAGGGGGCGCAGACGGCGGUGCAAGCCAGGAGUGAAAGCCCGGGGCCCAACCCCGGGACUGCUCUUGGAACUGCGUGGCGAGAGUGCAGGAGGGGCAGGCGGAAUUCCUGGUGUAGCGGUGAAAUGCGUAGAUAUCAGGAGGAACACCGGUGGCGAAGGCGGCCUGCUGGACUGCAACUGACGUUGAGGCCCGAAAGCGUGGGGAGCAAACAGGAUUAGAUACCCUUGUAGUC
rnacentral:rRNA from 1 species